rnacentral:rRNA from 1 species
CACGUAGGGUGCGAGCGUUGUCCGGAAUUACUGGGCGUAAAGCGCGUGUAGGCGGAUGGGCAAGUCUGCUGUGAAAGCUCCUGGCUUAACCGGGAGUGGUCGGUGGAAACUGCCAAUCUGGAGGACGGUAGAGGUAGGUAGAAUUCCCGGUGUAGUGGUGAAAUGCGUAGAGAUCGGGAGGAAUACCUGUGGCGAAGGCGGCCUACUGGGCCGGACCUGACGCUGAGACGCGAAGGCGUGGGGAGCGAACGGG